rnacentral:rRNA from 1 species
GCACAAGCGGAGGAACAUGUGGUUAAUUCGAUGAUACGCGAGGAACCUUACCUGGGCUUAAAUGUAGAGUGCAUUUUUAGAGAUAGAAAUUCCCUUCGGGGCUUUCUGCAAGGUGCUGCAUGGUUGUCGUCAGCUCGUGCCGUGAGGUGUCGGGUUAAGUCCCAUAACGAGCGCAACCCUUAUCGUUAGUUGCCAGCUGGUAAAGCAGGGGACUCUAGCGAAACUGCCACCGUAAGGUGAGAGGAAGGUGGGAUGACGUCAAAUCAGCACGGCCCUUAUGUCCAGGGCUACACACGUGUUACAAUGGCCGGCACAGAGGGCAGCUACCUGGUGACAGGAUGCUAAUCUCGAAAACCGGUCUCAGUUCGGAUCGAAGUCUGCAACUCGACUUCGUGAAGCUGGAUUCGCUAGUAAUCGCGCAUCAGCCAUGGCGCGGUGAAUACGUUCCCGGGCCUU